UGGGGAGUCGUCUAGUGGUAGGACGACAGACUCUGGAUCUGUUUGCGGGGGUUCGAAUCCUCCCUCCCCAGCCA
rnacentral:tRNA from 2 species